AUACAGAGGGUGCAAGCGUUAAUCGGAAUUACUGGGCGUAAAGCGAGUGUAGGCGGCUUCGUAAGUCGGAUGUGAAAGCCCCGGGCUCAACCUGGGAAUUGCAUUCGAUACUGGCAGGCUAGAGUAUGGUAGAGGGAAGUGGAAUUUCCGGUGUAGCGGUGAAAUGCGUAGAUAUCGGAAGGAACACCAGUGGCGAAGGCGACUUCCUGGGCCAAUACUGACGCUAAGGUGCGAAAGCGUGGGGAGCAAACAGGAUUAGAAACCCCAGUAGUCC
rnacentral:rRNA from 1 species